CCCUGGUUAGCUCAGUCGGUAGAGCGCUCAACUGGAAAUGGAGAAGUCCCUGGCUCGAUACCUGGAGUAGGCG
rnacentral:tRNA from 1 species